rnacentral:rRNA from 1 species
UACGUAGGUGGCAAGCGUUGUCCGGAUUUACUGGGUGUAAAGGGCGUGCAGCCGGGCUGACAAGUCAGAUGUGAAAUCCCGCGGCUCAACCGCGGAACUGCAUUUGAAACUGUCAGUCUUGAGUACCGGAGAGGUCAUCGGAAUUCCUUGUGUAGCGGUGAAAUGCGUAGAUAUAAGGAAGAACACCAGUGGCGAAGGCGGAUGACUGGACGGCAACUGACGGUGAGGCGCGAGAGCGUGGGGAGCAAACAGG